ACUUGUCUCAAAGAUUAAGCCAUGCAUGUCUAAGUAUAAGCAACUAUACAGUGAAACUGCGAAUGGCUCAUUAAAUCAGUUAUCGUUUAUUUGAUAGUACCUUACUACUUGGAUAACCGUGGUAAUUCUAGAGCUAAUACAUGCUAAAAAUCCCGACCUCUGGAAGGGAUGUAUUUAUUAGAUAAAAAACCAAUGCCUUCGGGCUCCUUGGUGAUUCAUGAUAACUUAACGAAUCGCAUGGCCUUGCGCCGGCGAUGGUUCAUUCAAAUUUCUGCCCUAUCAACUUUCGAUGGUAGGAUAGUGGCCUACCAUGGUUUCAACGGGUAACGGGGAAUUAGGGUUCGAUUCCGGAGAGGGAGCCUGAGAAACGGCUACCACAUCCAAGGAAGGCAGCAGGCGCGCAAAUUACCCAAUCCCGAUUCGGGGAGGUAGUGACAAUAAAUACUGAUACAGGGCUCUUUUGGGUCUUGUAAUUGGAAUGAGUACAAUUUAAAUCCCUUAACGAGGAACAAUUGGAGGGCAAGUCUGGCCC
rnacentral:rRNA from 1 species